rnacentral:sRNA from 1 species
CGGCUGCAGCUGCUGUUGAGUGAGAAAACAAAAUUAUCUUCCCUUCCAAAUCCAAAAAGAUGAAAACGACUGAGAUACUUUCAAAAGACAACCAAGUGGGCACCACAGACUAAUGAGUAGAAUCAAUAAGAACGUGGUUUUGGCCCUUUUAACGCUGGCAAGUUCUGCAUUUCUGCUGUUUCAGUUGUACUACUACAAGCACUAUUUAUCAACAAAGAAUGGAGCUGGUUUGUCAAAAUCCAAAGGAAGCCGAAUUGGAUUUGAUAGCACACAGUGGGUAUGUAGAAAAAACAAGAAAUUUCUCGAUUAUAAUGUUCAUUUAGUUCAUUCAUUUACUCCGUAAGUAUUUG